rnacentral:rRNA from 1 species
UACGGAGGGUGCAAGCGUUAUCCGGAUUCACUGGGUUUAAAGGGUGUGUAGGCGGGUUUUUAAGUCCGUGGUGAAAUCUCCGGGCUCAACCCGGAAACUGCCAUUGAUACUAUUAGUCUUGAAUAUUGUGGAGGUAAGCGGAAUAUGUCAUGUAGCGGUGAAAUGCUUAGAUAUGACAUAGAACACCAAUUGCGAAGGCAGCUUACUACACAACGAUUGACGCUGAGGCACGAAAGCGUGGGGAUCAAACAGG